rnacentral:rRNA from 1 species
AAAGCUGGCGUCUUCGGCGUCCGCAUUGUAAUCUCAAGAAGUGUUUUCCGCUUCGGACCAAGCCUAAGUCCCCUGGAAAGGGGCAUCAUAGAGGGUGAUAAUCCCGUACAUGGCUUGGAGCGCCCGUAGCUUUGUGAUGCACUUUCUAAGAGUCGAGUUGUUUGGGAAUGCAGCUCAAAAUGGGUGGUAAAUGCCAUCUAAGGCUAAAUAUUGGGGAGAGACCGAUAGCGAACAAGUACAGUGAUGGAAAGAUGAAAAGAACUUUGAAAAGAGAGUUAAACAGUACGUGAAAUUGCCAAAAGGGAAGGGUAGGAGGUCAGAGAUGCGGCCUAGGAUUCAGCCUUGCUUUUGCUUGGUGUUUUUCCUAGAUUGCAGGCCAACGUCGGUUUUGGGCACUGGAGAAGGGUGGAAGGAACGUGGCACCUCUCGGGGUGUGUUAUAGCCUUCCACUGGAUACAGCGACCGAGACCGAGGACAGCAGCGUACUCGCAAGAGCGGGCCUUCGGGCACCUUUACGCUUAGGGCGUUGGCAUAAUGGCCCUCUACCACCCGUCU